UUUCCGUAGGUGAACCUGCGGAAGGAUCAUUAAAGAAUUUAAAGAGUGCACUUCAUUGUGGCUCGACAUUUUCUACCAUUCACCCUAGUGCACUGUAAUACCUUUUUUUAUUAGACUCUACGAAGUUAUUGAAUGUAACACUUUUUUAUAAAGAAAUAAAACUUUUAACAACGGAUCUCUUGGCUCUC
rnacentral:misc_RNA from 1 species